CCUACGGGGGACAGCAGUGAGGAAUAUUGGUCAAUGGGCGUAAGCCUGACCCAGCCAAGCCGCGUGAAGGAUGAAGGUUCUAUGAAUCGUAAACCUCUUUUAUAAGGGAAUAAAGUUCGGUGCGUGUCUCGGAAUGUAUGUACCUUAUGAAUAAGCAUCGGCUAACGCCGUGCCAGCAGCCGCGCUAAUUCGGAGGAUCCAAGCGUUAACCGGAUUUAUUGGGUUUAAAGGGUGCGUAGGCGGCCGUUUAGGUUAGAGGGGAAAGUCUGUGGCUCAACCAAAGAACUGCCGCUGAAACUGGUAGACUUGAGUGUAGUUGAGGAAGGUGGAAUGCGUGGUGUAGCGGUGAAAUGCGUAGAUAUCAGGCAGAACACCGAUUGCGAAGGCGGCUUGCCAAGCCAUAACUGACGCUGAUGCACGAAAGCGUGGGGAUCAAACAGGAUUAGAUACCCUGGUAGUC
rnacentral:rRNA from 1 species